AUUGAACGCUGGCGGCAGGCCUAACACAUGCAAGUCGAGCGGAGGAAGGUAGCUUGCUACCGGAUUCAGAGGCGGACGGGUGAGUAAUGCCUAGGAAUCUGCCCGGUAAUGGGGGAUAACGUUUCGAAAGGAACGCUAAUACCGCAGACGUCCUACGGGAGAAAGCAGGGGACCUUCGGGCCUUGCGUUAUCGGAUGAGCCUAGGUCGGAUUAGCUAGUUGGUGAGGUAAUGGCUCACCAAGGCGACGAUCCGUAACUGGUCUGAGAGGAUGAUCAGUCACACUGGAACUGAGACACGGUCCAGACUCCUACGGGAGGCAGCAGUGGGGAAUAUUGGACAAUGGGCGAAAGCCUGAUCCAGCCAUGCCGCGUGUGUGAAGAAGGUCUUCGGAUUGUAAAGCACUUUAAGUUGGGAGGAAGGGCAGUCAGUUAAUACCUUGCUGUCUUGACGUUACCAACAGAAUAAGCACCGGCUAACUUCGUGCCAGCCGCCGCCGUAACAC
rnacentral:rRNA from 1 species